CCCAUGGGCCAUGGACUUCCUCACGCUCAUCGCCAGGUCGCCACCACGGCACCACCUCGCGACCUGUUCCCCCGCCGUCUCCGGCGCGACAUCGAACCCGAGCGCUUCCGUCGCCACACCCCGCCAACCGGCGCUGCGGCGAGCUGGAGAAGCGCUGCACGGAGCCACCACUCCCAGCUGAUAGCAGUCGUAGCCCACCGAAUGACAAAUUCUAGUAAGCCCCCACCGAAGCUUGGCGGCGAAUCAGGAAGUCUCACGUCUUCCCACCACCUCCUCCGAAUGCCGGAACGGCAACGCACCUCGUCGCUGCCACCUUCCGCUCCGGCGAGGGAUACGUGCGGCAAGUGGCGCACCUCUCCGGAUCCGCCUCCUACUCGGUGCUGACAGAGGUAUAUGAGAGCUAUUACUCCAUCAGACACAAACUUUCGUAAUUAAAUCACUAACCAAUUUACUGAUGAUUCCAAAUGUUCUUGUACAAAUGUAUCUUAUUUCUCUUUACCUGUUUCACCGACCAUCACCAUUAUAAUUCAACAUUAUCAUCUGUUGCUUUGGAUGACUCUACAGCCUUAUUGUGUGUCCAGAAGCUA